UCCGCCAGCGUCAAAAACUAGAUUCUAAAUUGGGACCUCGAUAAUGGUGCCUAAGAGAAAAACCUUUAACUUGUAAUAUAUGUCAAACUACUUUGAAAACAUAAAUGAACCUCCUAAGAGUCAUAAUUAUUUAAAAGAAAUAAACACUCAAACAUGUGCUUUAACACAUGUCCGAAACUUAUAGCUGCUCUGCGCAUCCUUGGGAAACGACUAUUCCUACCCUUCAAAUCCAUUGGUAUCUUCCUCCUAUUUGGGUAUGUAACAUACCAUAAUCCUACUUGAUUAGAGACUAAUCGGCGAUUACUAAAAAUAAACUAAGAUCGGAAAACUUACCUACUUCCAAAUCGGAACUUUUCUUGGGAUUCCUUAGCGAAACAAAAUUAGAACGCUUCUAGGGUGAGAAAUUUUGAAUGGGAGUCAAGGGUUUAUAUAGAGAGGUAAGGCGAUUUACGAAGCUGCUACGCCACCAGGUCCGCCACUGAUCAUGUCUCUUCCGACCACAUGUGUUGCUGAGUCACGUCCAUGGACACCAAGCAGCGUCCAUUGAUCGAUAGCCAUGUGUCAUUGCCCUCGGACAUGAG